UCCUUUUUGUGUGGCUUAUAAUAAUUGUCUUCCCUUUUCCUUGUACCCUUUUGGUUUCUUGAUCAUUAGGAGACAAUUAAAGAAUCAUGGCUCUGUUUUGUUAUAUAGCUGCUCUUGAAAUGGGCUAUUCGCUAAUGUUUGAUCUCUAAUUAGUUUUGACUUUGAAAUGGGCUAUUAGCUAGUGUUUGAUCUCUAAUUAGUUUUAUCUUUCUCUGUGGGCCUUUUCAGGGUUGCUUAG
rnacentral:misc_RNA from 1 species